rnacentral:rRNA from 1 species
AGCGAACGCUGGCGGCAGGCUUAACACAUGCAAGUCGAACGGGUGUAGCAAUACAUCAGUGGCAGACGGGUGAGUAACACGUGGGAACCUUCCUAGGGGUACGGAACAACUCAGGGAAACUUGAGCUAAUACCGUAUACGUCCGUGAGGAGAAAGAUUUAUCGCCCUUAGACGGGCCCGCGUCGGAUUAGCUAGUUGGUGGGGUAACGGCCUACCAAGGCGACGAUCCGUAGCUGAUCUUAGAGGAUGAUCAGCCACACUGGGACUGAGACACGGCCCAGACUCCUACGGGAGGCAGCAGUGGGGAAUCUUGGACAAUGGGCGCAAGCCUGAUCCAGCCAUGCCGCGUGAGUGAAGAAGGUCUUCGGAUUGUAAAGCUCUUUUGCCAGGGACGAUAAUGACGGUACCUGGAGAAUAAGCCCCGGCGAACUUCGUGCCAGCAGCCGCAGUAA